AGGAAACGAUGGAAUGCUAUACUAAUGCCAAAAGCCCCACAAACAUGCUCAAAUAAUUUGCAGAUGAUUUAUGGCAUGUUUGCUGUGGAGUUGUUUGCAUGUGGUAACAGAUAUGCAGGCCACAGUAUCCUAAAGAGUUUUGAAUAUUCCUUGCAUGUCCAUAUUGCUGCAGGUCGAGUUUUACAUGACUAUGCUAUAUGAUUCUACUAAGGUAACUAGUAGACAAUGAAUUGUUUCAUGGGAAGUUUUUUUUUUUUUUUUUAGGAAAAUUUACAUUGUUCCUGCUUGAAGACAGCAUUACCUUAAAGAUGGCAGCACGUCUCUUCUAAUGCGCCACUGCAAACUCCUGACAUCAUCAACCUUGGGGCAGACAUAUCCAUGGUAACCCAUGAAUGAAUUCACACAGCUGACUGUAAUGAAUGAAAUGGACCAAAAGAUAAAAGCUGAAGAAAAAACACAGCUCCCGUGAAAGACUGUGUCACAUGAAUGCUUAAACAUUAGGAUCUGCUCUUGGUCACCACAAAAACCUCUGAAAGAAAACAACAUCCGGUCUCAAUCUGUAGUACAGUUACAUGUCCAACAGGAAGGGACUGAUAGCAUGUCUGUUCAACCGAAUCAGGCCAAUUAGCUUCCUGUGAACACAGAGUGGAAAGUCAAUAGUGACACAGAGGGGUCACUGGCCACUGGCUCUUAAUGACAUGCUGAGAGGAAGCAGGAUUAGCGAGGGAUGAUGUCAUUGCUGCCACCAGCAACUGUGCCCUGAAUGACAUUUCUAUUACUCUGUGUUGGCUUAUAAAGAAACACACUGCUGGUUUAAUGUCACAGAGACACAGAGGACGAAUGUUGGUGGGUCAUGAAAAAACCGAGGGGAUACAUUGUGCUUUUCCUUUGAUUUAUUUGCUUAUGAAUCAUACAGUGCACGGCUGAAUUUAUAUUGCUUCAUGCAGCAAGAAUGCGUGAUUUGUUCAAGUCUCAGUACGACUUCUUAAAGACACAAUAGAUUCCAAUACAUCUGUGUUACAUUACAUCUGCAUUGGAUCACUUUAUGGCUCGCCUUUUUGGAAAUCUUAGUGAUACGGAAAUAUAUGUCACGUUGCCAUGUGCACAAAAUUCAAUACUUUUCUCAUCCCAGCAUGCAUGAAAGCUUGGUUGCUGUUGAAACGGUUCUGUUUGUUGUUGUUUUUACGGAUGGGCAUCUGACUGUACAGUUUCAAAUGUUUCCAGCCAAGGGUUACUGGAAUAGU